rnacentral:rRNA from 1 species
AUGGCUGCUGAUGGGGUUCCGGGCUCCUCUGGGCUCAGCGAUGUGGAGAAGAUGAUGAUGGAACUAGGCCUCCGGGAAGAGGACCUGGAUGACAUCGUUUUUGAUGAGAAGGAUGCGCCGCCAGAGACGCCACGGUGGGUAGCGCUGAUCAAGGUUAACACCAACAAGAGCUAUAGUCAGACUUGGUUCUUCCGGAACAUGCGCUCAGCGUGGGACGUAGCACAGGAAGCGAAAUUCAAGCCUCUAGAGGAGAAUCUGUACUCUGUCCAGUUUACUUGCUUGGGAGAUUGGGAACGAGUCAUGCAAGAAGGGCCAUGGAAUUUUAGGGGGGAUGCGGUGCUCAUGGCGCCGUAUGAUGGAAUCUCGAAGCCAUCAUCAAUCAAACUGGAGACUAUUGACAUAUGGAUCCAAAUUCACGAUGUGCCUGAUUUGUAUGCUCAUCUAGUUGGUCCCCUAGCCGCCAAGGUGGGUGAGGUUUUGUUUGUUGAAGCUCCGUCCCAUGAUUUCACAGGAAAUUUUUACCGUGUUUGGGUGCGCAUCAAUGUCCAUAAACCACUCAGAAACGCGGUAUCAAUGAUCAGAGGAGGACAGAGGCAGAUCUAUAAAGUAAAAUACGAGAGGCUACCCGACUGGUGUGCCGUUUGUGGGAUGCUGGGACACCUCUAUAAAGAGCAUGGUAAUGGAGUUCAUCCUCCAUCUGCGCUAGUCUUCAAAGAACUCCGGGCCGAGUGGUUUAUGAACAACAGAAGAGGCCCUGGUGAGGGGAGGGGACAUCGUGGUGGUCGCCGUGGAGGCCGCUCUGGUGGCAGGUCAAGAAAGGAUGCUGAGAGAGAGCCUAAGAGCUCCUAUGAAGAAAAUUUGGGCAGGGUGGAUAAGACAGAUGUGGAUAUGUCGGAUCCCAGCAGGAAAAGGACGAACGAUGUGGUCGUUAAUGAGACCAUAGCGGUUGGACCAGAAGGGGAGGCGCUGAAUAAUAGCAGAACGACUAUGACCGGGCUGGAGCUUGCUGUUGUGAACCAGAGUUCUAAUCCAAACGGCAAAGAUCUUCGCAUCUGGAGCAAGAAUCUCAUCGGCGACACCAAGCUUCAGUUCCAUAUCGCAUGUGAAGUGAUUUUGUGCCUCGACACUGCUCAGGAGAGACGGCGACUCUCGACGGCAGAAGCGGAGCUCAGAAAAGGCCUAAAGGCCCUCGAGAUCAUGCCGUUACCAGGCAGAGAGGUAAAGCUCAGAGUGAGCUUAUACGCUGACGACACCAUCAUCUUCGCAAACCCUGACAAAGAGGAGAUAGAUACCCUGAUGCACAUUCUUCAGAGUUUCGGUGACGCCUCGGGUCUGCGGAUCAACCUGGCCAAAUCCACGGCCAUGCCGAUCCACUGCAGUGACAUCGACCUAGGGCUAGUUCUUCAAACGUUUGGCGGCCCGAUCGCUCAUUUCCCAAUUAGAUAUCUAGGCCUACCCAUUACCACGGGGCGGAUACGUCUAGUUCACCUCCAGUUCAUCCUCGACCGCAUCAAGGCACGGCUUGCAGGCUGGAAGGGACGAAUGCUGUCCAUGGCAGGCAGGCGAGUACUCGUCCGCUGCGUCCUCUCGGCGCUGCCCACCUUUGCCCUCACAGCGCUGCGAGUGCCCAAGAAGCUUCUGAAGGAAAUUGACAAGCACAGGCGACGGUUUCUUUGGAGGAAGGACCAAGAACUCUCCGGUGGCAGCUGCAAGCACUGUGAGGGCCUCAUCGAGGCAUGCCGGCCAAACGACUGCAGCUCCCUGGAAAAGGUCGAAGCCAUGGUCUCUGCAACAGGGCCUGCGCACGCGAAAGGAGCCAAGUCUCUGAUCACGCUGGUGCUCUGA